ensembl:antisense A830036E02Rik RIKEN cDNA A830036E02 gene
GCUAUUGUUGAUGACGGGUUUGCUACCGUGGGGCUGGGUGGUCCGGAUGCUGCUAUUGAUGUGUUAUCCCUAGCAUCAAGAGAUGGUUCUUCUAGAACAUCAGCCGGCGGUAGGUCUCAAUCUCCAUCUCCAGGCGAGCCUUGACGCCCAGCAGCCGCUGGUGGUCCGCAUUCUGGCGCUCCGCGUCAGCCCGCACCUGUUGGAGUUGCUCCUCCAGGCUGCCGAUCAGCUGCUGCACCUGAGACAGUUGGCAGCAGUACCCACCCUCGGUUUCAGCCAGCGAGCCUUCCAGGGACGACUUCUGCAAAUGGGAGAUAGACAGAAUUGUCUGGGGAUCAGAGAACAAGAUGGGCAGCCCAUGGUCCAGCAUACGGUGGGUGCAACAUCUUUUUUUUUGGAAGUUAAAGGAUGCAUCAUCUCUCUCUGCAUGUCACGCUACCAUGGCGAGCUGGGACUGGAGUUCAAUCUCUAGGUUCUGCACCAUGCGCUUCAGGUCGGUGACCUCGCUCUUGCUGGACUGAAGCUGCUCCGUGUUGCUGCUGAUCUCUUUUCGGAGCUCUCCGCUCUGCAACAGCAAACCAUGGCUUCAUACUGGGCUCUCAUUUCAUUGAGGACCUUGGUGAGAUCCACUCCAGGGGCCGCGUCCAUUUCUACAUUGACCUCACCUGGACCACCUGCCUGGAAACUUUGGAGUUCCUAGAGACAGCAAUGGAGAGAGAAAGACACAGGAGUACAUGUGGCUAGUGAGUCCCCCAGGUACGUUUGCCUUCUUGGGUCUCUUCAUGCAUGAUAAUAAUAAAAAAUAUAUUUUUGAGUGAGUUGGUAUAAAGGCAAAAUAUUAGCGCAAGGCAUCCACACAUUUUUCUUUAAGCUUGAAAACCUGUUUCUCUCAUAAUUAAAAAAAACUAAAACCAAAAACCAAGAUAUUUUCUCAGGUUUCUUGAGUGAUCAGGGGCUCCACGUUCUGUGCCUGUGGUUGCUGGCUCUGCUUCUAGAACAUCCACUUCCUAUAGUUUACAGAAAGGAAAGAGACCUGGUGUGCAGAUUGCUCCAGCAACUGCUACAGAGCUAGUGCCACAAGUGGCACCUGGGGUCAUACACUAUUUCACACCAUAGUCAUUGAGAACCCAACAGAAAGUUUCUUAGAAGCCCAUUGCCAGUGGUCGUUCUUCCUGUCCAUGCCCCGGCCUCUGAUACACACAUCAGAUCUCCAUAUGUCUUAUAUUGGUUACACUUCUCUAACAUAUGUGGCUGGUAUAUGUGUCAGCUGUAGACUUUUGUUUUCAUUUUUGAAACACUCCGUAUUUAAAGAAAACAUUUGACGAAGGUAAUUAAAAUUCCUGCCAUUACUUAAUGAUGGAAAUAGUAAAACCAGAAUAUUCCCCGCUAUCCCAAGUCUAAUACUCGAAUCCAUUAAGCCUUAAUAAAAAAUACCAUGACACAUGCACAAGAGGGUGAGGUGGGGUGGGGGUGGGGGGCACACAUAGAGGAACACCAAAAUGAAUAGUCACUGUAACACAGAGAUAAUAUAUUCUCUAGCUUUGUUAAUUCAAAGUUUCAAUUUUUGGGUCUGGGAGGAAAAAAAAUAAAGCUAUUUCUGACCUCUUCGUGGUUCUUCUUCAUGUAAGCCAGCUCCUCAGUGAGGGUCUCAAGCUGGGCUUCCAGGUCGGCUCUAGUCAGGGUCAGCUCGUCCAGCACCCUUCGCAGCCCGUUGAUGUCGGCCUCCACGGUCUGGCGCAGGGCCAGCUCAUUCUCAUACCUGGAACCCAAGUGCCGACAGUUUAGGAAGUCAACAUUAACACAACCAUUGCGAUGGAUCCUGGACAUCUUCUGGGCUAUGUGGCCCAUGUCUGUAAUCCUAGUACUUGAGAAGUAGAGCCAUGAGUUCAAGGUCAUCCUCCACUAUAUAGUGAGUUCAAGGCAGCCCUAGGGAAGAGGAGGAGGAGGGGGAGGAAGAAGAAGGAGAAGGAGGAAGAAGAGAAGGAAGAAGAGGAGGAAGAGGGGAGGGAGAGAAGAAAACACUGCGCUAACAGUAUAUUAUGCCGAUUUUUUAUUUUGUGACUUUUCCUCUGUGUGUGAGUAUGAUUGCUUACUCCUCAUUUGGAGACAAGAGAAGAAAGAUGAAGAAAUGAUGAACCGAGAACUUCCUACCAGCAGUGAUCCUUGCAUCCCAGGAAGAAGGCUCCCUAACCAGAAAGAAGACCUCCAUCAUUGCCAGAAAAGAUACACAGAGAGCCACCGCCCGAGCUUCCAGCUAUCCCCAUCCCUAUCCCCAUUCCUCCCGCGCCACCUCUCAGAGGUCCCCCAUAGGCAGAGCCAAGCCCCGGCAAGCAACCUGCAGAGCCACCGCUAAAGCCAGAACUAGAACCAAACAUGGAAGCAGCAGAAAAGAGGCCUCCACAGCCAACUCCAAAGCCAGAGGCCGAUCCCCCAUAGCCGCCGGCAACACUAGAAGCAGAUGCACCCCAAGGUCUGCCUGCCGCCCCAUUCUGUGAGGAAGACCUCCUGGACAGCGCAGAGGUGCAGACUGAAAGCGACAUGCUGUUGCUGGAGAGGUGGUGACCCAAGAGAGACCGCAGUGCUGGUAUGCCAGAAGGGGUCCUGCCUUUAUAGGCUGGGAGGUGGGUGUUGCGGUUAAAGAGUUCACUCUCUGCGUUCCAACUCUCGCAUGCCCACCCACACCCAGUUGGCCAGCUCAGCAGGUAUGUGAUUUAUGCAUCGUGAAAAUUCACUGAUAUAGCUAUAAUCGAAUAACCAUUACCACUAGAUAUCUGACACACAAGAAAGAAGGCUGGGUGGAGCAGAUAGGCUGUCGUAAGGAAUCUGUCACCUUCAGUUGUCCUCAGCACUGCCUGUAUCUUCCAGACACCAGAAGAGUGACGACUGGAGCAUUAAGGAAUCCUUCCGAAGCCCCAUGCUUCCUGAAGCUCUGUCUUCCCCUCCCCUGUCUAUUUCUUUCGGUUCAGUAUAAGCCAACCAACCAUGCUGUGGUUCUCUCUGUAGGGACAGUUUCAGAGGCAGAUGAAGAGCGCAUUCCUGGAAGGUGAGAAACAGAGGUGUUUUCCAAGCGGACAUUAGAAUCUGAGCUUGCAAGGCUCUGAGAGCAUCUGCUGUAAGGAGUUGUGUGGUUCUUGCUUUUCUGAAAAUGGAACACUUAAACAUGGGAGCCAGCUGUUUGGAAGUCGAACAUUUAUAGUUAACAAAAGAUUGGCAUUCUCAGUGAACCAUGACGCUGGGCUCUGGGCUGAAUGCUUAUUGCUAUUUCUUCAAUGGCAUUACCUGUGAGAAUUUUGUAGUAAAUCUGUUGGCUGAAUGGAUAGUAUAUCACCUACAGUGUUCCACCAUUAACAAAAUACAUACACACACACAUACACACACGCAAACACUGUCCAAAAUAAGAAAUGAUUAAAACUCCAUGCUUC